rnacentral:rRNA from 1 species
GAAGUCGGUGGGGUAACCUUUUUGGAGCCAACCGCCUAAGGUGGGACAGAUGAUUGGGGUGAAGUCGUAACAAGGUAGCCGUAUCGGAAGGUGCGGCUGGAUCACCUCCUUUCUAUGGAGA